AUGGGUGACUAGUGGCAGAGUGAGGGAGGGAAGGGGUGACUAGUGACAGAGUGAGGGGAUGACUGGUGACAGAGUGAGGGGGGGGUGACUGUCACUAGUCACCCCAUCCCUCUCUCUGUCACUAGUCACUCCCUCCCUAACUCUGUCACUGUGUCACCCCCUCCCUCACUCUGUCACUAAUCACCCCCUCUCUCCCUAGUCACCCCCUUCCUCACUCUGUCACUAGUCACCCCAU